GUAAUAUUGCAUCAUCCGUAUCUGUUAACCUGAUAAUAGUAGUAUGCUGUGUUGUAAUCCUGGUGAUUUUCCUAGCACUCAUCUUUUGCUUUUGUUUCUAUUCUCGAAAGAACAAGAAGCAUGAGCAGUCCACUAUGAUAAACAUGGUUAAUUAUGAUGAUUUUGGUGGUCAGGAUAGUGGCGUUGAUACUUCAGCGCCACCUAAGUUGGAAUCACAGUGUGAUGAUACAUCGCUACCUAAUUUGGAUUUAGCUUUGGAAGAGCCACACACAUAAAUGCCAUUGAUGAAGCAGUAAAAUUAUGUCAGUCAUUAAGGUUUUACAGUAUUAUUCUCAGAGGAACAAGAUAAUGGACAUGAAGUCUUAUGAAGGUCAUGGUGAUUACCCUUGUUGGUGAAAUAAUACAGCAAUUAAGUUUGAUUUUUAUUUUUCUGGUCACUGACAAAUAUUUGUAUUCUUGCUUUUUUCUGUUUUUAUUUUUUAUAUGAAAGAAAAUAAUAAAACAUAAAGAAAAAAACAAUAAUCUGCUUAUUUAUGCAACAUAAUCACUGUUAACCACUUUGGUCCGUUCCCAGCGUAAGUCGUGAUAUAAUGUCAAUUCAUAUUCAUAUAGUCUCAUUGGACUGUAAUUUGUUUGCUUGAACUUACUAAGCUAUUUUUAAUGUAUAUUUUCCUUAUUCUUUAUCUUCAAUAUAUUUGAAAUAUGUGUAUUGUUUAUAUUACUCUCUUUUGAUUUUUUUUUUCGCCUAUUUAGUUCGUAAUAUAAUAAUGAAAUUGUAAUCAGUAUAAGAAUCAAUAGUAGUCAGGAUGAUAAUACUAACAUGAAUUUGCUAUAUCUAUGUGUAGUCGCUUAGUUUAGGUUUACAUAUGUUUAACUAUAAAUCAACAUGCAUGUUAAUCCACUUUCUAUUCCAGAUUAAUUUUUAUUAAAACAAUAUUUACCUGAAAAGUGGAACUGAAUACUUGAGUCAUUCUAUUUGCAAAUUUCCAGAAAACCCCUCACAUAUUGAAGUACAGCUGUAUUCGUUUUUCUAAUUUCUAAGGGAUUUUUCUUAAAUACACAAUACAUUCUAUCGGAAAUUCAAUUAAUAUGUAAAUCUAGAAAAAAUUUAGGCUCAUGUGGCACCCACUCCGAAGGAGAAACCUGCUUGUGUUGCUGCGACCGAUAUCGCCACCUUUGCUAAAUUAUGAAGAUGUUAUCACUAAAUGGGCUUGGCACAUCACUCUAAAUCUCUAAAGAGGGUCAUCAAAUAGCAAUUGCAUGAUUGAAUUGUUUAUAUAAAGGGUAUAAAAUAUAAAGGGGAUAAAACUGGUUAUGCUGAUAAUCUUGUCAUUAAUUAUUGACAAUUGGCACCAUAGACCUCCCGCAGGGGUAGAUUUAGGGAGGGGACGGCCCCGCCACCCCACCCCCUCCCCUUUUGGGAGGUAGAAAAAAAAAAGAAAGAAAAAGAAAAAAAAUGAUAGCCCAGAACGCCUAAAACGUUAUUUUCGGGCGUCUAGAACACAAAAAUUUCGGGGGGCAUGCUUCGGAUCCCCUAGACCACUGUUGUCUCGAUUGGCCCAACUCUCGCCCCCUCCCCCUUUGAACAUCUCUGGAUCUGCCCCUGACACGAUUGCAAUCCCAUCUUUGUUAAAACUAGGAGUUACACAGAAUACCCAGAUCUCUCUUUUUACAACCAACGUAUUUGGUAUCACUGGCAGUUUAAUCUUUCGAGUUGGCAGCCCUGUGCUUAAUUAACGUUUUGCGUAAUUUUUUUUAAAAAUAUGUUAUAUUUUGCAUUUUAAUGUUGUCUUAUUUUCAUUUAAUUUCCUCUGUAUUUUGAAUAUUUUAUCUAAUUAAAAUGUGUUGGCCUACACGUUUUUUGUCUUAUAGAUGUUUUAUAUAAUGAUUUUAGUCUGAAAAUUGUAAAUGAACACAUAUUUCUGCAAAUGUGAAUUUUUUUUGUGAAUAAAUUGAAAUAA